AACGAACGCUGGCGGCAGGCCUAACACAUGCAAGUCGAGCGAGGACUUCGGUCCUAGCGGCGGACGGGUGAGUAACGCGUGGGAACGUGCCCUUUGCUUCGGAAUAGCCCUGGGAAACUGGGAGUAAUACCGGAUGAGCCCUUUGGGGGAAAGAUUUAUCGGCGAAGGAUCGGCCCGCGUUGGAUUAGGUAGUUGGUGGGGUAAUGGCCUACCAAGCCGACGAUCCAUAGCUGGUUUGAGAGGAUGAUCAGCCACACUGGGACUGAGACACGGCCCAGACUCCUACGGGAGGCAGCAGUGGGGAAUCUUAGACAAUGGGGGAAACCCUGAUCUAGCCAUGCCGCGUGAGCGAUGAAGGCCUUAGGGUUGUAAAGCUCUUUCAGCCGGGAAGAUAAUGACGGUACCAGCAGAAGAAGCCCCGGCUAACUCCGUG
rnacentral:rRNA from 1 species